rnacentral:rRNA from 1 species
GGGGAAUAUUGGACAAUGGGCGAAAGCCUGAUCCAGCAAUGCCGCGUGUGUGAAGAAGGCCUGCGGGUUGUAAAGCACUUUUAUCAGGAAAGAAAAUCACAGGGCUAAUAUCUCUGUGCCUUGACGGUACCUGAUGAAUAAGCUCCGGCUAACUCCAUGCCAGCAGCCGCGGUAAUACGGAGGGAGCUAGCGUUGUUCGGAAUUACUGGGCGUAAAGCGCACGUAGGCGGCUUUGUAAGUUAGAGGUGAAAGCCCGGAGCUCAACUCCGGAAUUGCCUUUAAGACUGCAUCGCUUGAAUCCAGGAGAGGUGAGUGGAAUUCCGAGUGUAGAGGUGAAAUUCGUAGAUAUUCGGAAGAACACCAGUGGCGAAGGCGGCUCACUGGACUGGUAUUGACGCUGAGGUGCGAAAGCGUGGGGAGCAA